GGGGAGUGAAACAGUUCCUGAAACCGUGUGCCUACAAGUAGUUAGAGCCCGUUAAUGGGUGAUAGCGUGCCUUUUGUAGAAUGAACCGGCGAGUUACGAUUUGUUGCAAGGUUAAGCGGAAAAAGCGGAGCCGUAGCGAAAGCGAGUCUGAAUAGGGCGCAUAAGUAACAGGUCGUAGACCCGAAACCAGGUGAUCUACCCAUGUCCAGGAUGAAGGUAAGGUAAUACUUACUGGAGGUCCGAACCCACGCACGUUGAAAAGUGCGGGGAUGAGGUGUGGGUAGCGGAGAAAUUCCAAUCGAACUUGGAGAUAGCUGGUUCUCUCCGAAAUAGCUUUAGGGCUAGCCUCGAGGUAAAGAGUCAUGGAGGUAGAGCACUGUUUGGACUAGGGGCCCUUCUCGGGUUACCGAAUUCAGAUAAACUCCGAAUGCCAUGUACUUAUACUCGGGAGUCAGACUGCGAGUGAUAAGAUCCGUAGUCGAAAGGGAAACAGCCCAGACCACCAGUUAAGGUCCCCAAAUAUAUGUUAAGUGGAAAAGGAUGUGGGGUUGCUUAGACAACCAGGAUGUUGGCUUAGAAGCAGCCACCAUUGAAAGAGUGCGUAAUAGCUCACUGGUCGAGUGACCCCGCGCCGAAAAUGUACCGGGGCUAAACAUAUUACCGAAACUGUGGAUGAACCUCUUUAGAGGUUCGUGGUAGGAGAGCGUUCUAAGGGCGGUGAAGUCAGACCGGAAGGACUGGUGGAGCGCUUAGAAGUGAGAAUGCCGGUAUGAGUAGCGAAAGAAGGGUGAGAAUCCCUUCCACCGAAUAUCUAAGGUUUCCUGAGGAAGGCUCGUCCGCUCAGGGUUAGUCGGGACCUAAGCCGAGGCCGAUAGGCGUAGGCGAUGGACAACAGGUAGAGAUUCCUGUACCAGUGCUAAUUGUUUAACCGAUGGGGUGACACAGAAGGAUAGGGAAUCGCACGAAUGGAAAUGUGCGUCCAAGCAGUGAGUGUGAGAAGUAGGCAAAUCCGCUUCUCGCGAAGCAUGAGCUGUGAUGGGGAAGGAAAUUAAGUACGGAAGUUCCUGAUUUCACGCUGUCAAGAAAAGCCUCUAGGAAGAGUAGUACUGCCCGUACCGCAAACCGACACAGGUAGAUGAGGAGAGAAUCCUAAGGUGAGCGAGAGAACUCUCGUUAAGGAACUCGGCAAAAUGACCCCGUAACUUCGGGAGAAGGGGUGCUCUAUUAGGGUGCAAGCCCGAGAGAGCCGCAGUGAAUAGGCCCAGGCGACUGUUUAGCAAAAACACAGGUCUCUGCAAAACCGUAAGGUGACGUAUAGGGGCUGACGCCUGCCCGGUGCUGGAAGGUUAAGAGGAGUGCUUAGCUUCGGCGAAGGUACGAAUUGAAGCCCCAGUAAACGGCGGCCGUAACUAUAACGGUCCUAAGGUAGCGAAAUUCCUUGUCGGGUAAGUUCCGACCCGCACGAAAGGCGCAACGAUCUGGGCACUGUCUCAACGAGAGACUCGGUGAAAUUAUAGUACCUGUGAAGAUGCAGGUUACCCGCGACAGGACGGAAAGACCCCGUGGAGCUUUACUGCAACCUGAUAUGGAAUGUUUGUACCGCUUGUACAGGAUAGGUAGGAGCCGAAGAGACGUGUGCGCUAGCAUACGAGGAGGCAAUGGUGGGAUACUACCCUGGCUGUAUGACCAUUCUAACCCGCCACGCUUAGCGCGUGGGGAGACAGUGUCAGGUGGGCAGUUUGACUGGGGCGGUCGCCUCCUAAAGAGUAACGGAGGCGCCCAAAGGUUCCCUCAGAAUGGAUGGAAAUCAUUCGCAGAGUGUAAAGGCACAAGGGAGCUUGACUGCGAGACUGACAAGUCGAGCAGGGACGAAAGUCGGGCUUAGUGAUCCGGUGGUUCCGCAUGGAAGGGCCAUCGCUCAACGGAUAAAAGCUACCCCGGGGCUAACAGGCUUAUCUCCCCCAAGAGUCCACAUCGACGGGGAGGUUUGGCACCUCGAUGUCGGCUCGUCGCAUCCUGGGGCUGUAGUCGGUCCCAAGGGUUGGGCUGUUCGCCCAUUAAAGCGGCACGCGAGCUGGGUUCAGAACGUCGUGAGACAGUUCGGUCCCUAUCCGUCGCGGGCGCAGGAAAUUUGAGAGGAGCUGUCCUUAGUACGAGAGGACCGGGAUGGACACACCGCUGGUGUACCAGUUGUUCCGCCAGGAGCAUCGCUGGGUAGCUAUGUGUGGCAGGGAUAAACGCUGAAAGCAUCUAAGCGUGAAGCCCCCCUCAAGAUGAGAUUUCCCAUUUCUUCGGAAAGUAAGAUCCCUGAAAGAUGAUCAGGUAGAUAGGUUUGGAGUGGAAGUGUAGCGAUACAUGGAGCGGACAAAUACUAAUCGAUCGAGGACUUAACCAA
rnacentral:rRNA from 1 species